GCUGGUCUAGCUGCUGCUGAUCAACUAAACAGAUUAGGCCAUACGGUGACUGUGUAUGAGCGUGCUGAUAGAAUUGGAGGGCUCAUGAUGUAUGGAGUUCCUAAUAUGAAGGCUGACAAAGUGGAUAUAGUUCAACGGCGGGUUAACCUUAUGGCUGAGGAAGGUGUCAACUUUGUGGUUAAUGCUAGUGUUGGAAAUGAUCCUUUGUACUCGCUUGAUCGCCUUCGAGAGGAGAAUAAUGCCAUUAUUUUAGCAGUAGGAGCAACAAAACCAAGGUAACUUAUAAUUGUGUAAUGUUGUUGUUUCUAAGGUAUUAUUUUAAUAUGGUUAACAGUAGUGAAAUUUAAAAAAAAAAAAUUUUUUGGGUGCAGGGACCUUCCUGUACCAGGGCGAGAGUUGUCAGGUGUUCAUUUUGCUAUGGAGUUCCUUCACGCAAACACCAAAAGCUUACUAGAUAGCAAUCUUCAGGAUGGUAACUAUAUUUCUGCUAAGGGCAAGAAAGUUGUGGUAAUUGGUGGAGGUGA
rnacentral:lncRNA from 1 species